rnacentral:rRNA from 1 species
UUAAUUGAAGAGUUUGAUCAUGGCUCAGAUUGAACGCUGGCGGCAGGCCUAACACAUGCAAGUCGAGCGGCAGCACAGAGGAACUUGUUCCUUGGGUGGCGAGCGGCGGACGGGUGAGUAAUGCCUGGGAAAUUGCCCGGUAGAGGGGGAUAACCAUUGGAAACGAUGGCUAAUACCGCAUAACCUCGCAAGAGCAAAGCAGGGGACCUUCGGGCCUUGCGCUACCGGAUAUGCCCAGGUGGGAUUAGCUAGUUGGUGAGGUA